rnacentral:rRNA from 1 species
UACGUAGGGUGCAAGCGUUGUCCGGAGUUAUUGGGCGUAAAGAGCUCGUAGGCGGUCUGUCGCGUCGGCUGUGAAAACUCGGGGCUCAACCCCGGGCCUGCAGCCGAUACGGGCGAGCUAGAAUUCGGUAGGGGAGACUGGAAUUCCUGGUGUAGCGGUGAAAUGCGCAGAUAUCAGGAGGAACACCGGUGGCGAAGGCGGGUCUCUGGGCCGAUAUUGACGCUGAGGAGCGAAAGCGUGGGGAGCGAACAGG